rnacentral:rRNA from 1 species
CCCUACGGGAGGCAGCAGUAGGGAAUCUUCCGCAAUGGACGAAAGUCUGACGGAGCAACGCCGCGUGAACGAUGAAGGCCUUCGGGUCGUAAAGUUCUGUUGUUAGGGAAGAACAAGUGCUAGUUAAAUAAGCUGGCACCUUGACGGUACCUAACCAGAAAGCCACGGCUAACUACGUGCCAGCAGCCGCGGUAAUACGUAGGUGGCAAGCGUUGUCCGGAAUUAUUGGGCGUAAAGCGCGCGCAGGCGGUUUCUUAAGUCUGAUGUGAAAGCCCCCGGCUCAACCGGGGAGGGUCAUUGGAAACUGGGAAACUUGAGUGCAGAAGAGGAAAGUGGAAUUCCAAGUGUAGCGGUGAAAUGCGUAGAGAUUUGGAGGAACACCAGUGGCGAAGGCGACUUUCUGGUCUGUAACUGACGCUGAGGCGCGAAAGCGUGGGGAGCAAACAGGAUUAGAUACCCUGGUAGUCCACGCUGUAAACGAUGAGUGUUAAGUGUUAGAGGGUUUCCGCCCUUUAGUGCUGAAGUUAACGCAUUAAGCACUCCGCCUGGGGAGUACGGUCGCAAGACUGAAACUCAAAGGAUUGACGGCUGAGACNGCGAGACGACGACGAGGGAGAGG